rnacentral:rRNA from 1 species
UACGGGGGGUGCGAGCGUUGUCCGGAAUCACUGGGCGUAAAGGGCGCGUAGGCGGCCUGGUAAGUAGGGGGUGAAAUCCUGCGGCUUAACCGCAGGGCUGCCUUCUAAACUGUCAGGCUUGAGCACGGUAGAGGCAGAUGGAAUUUCCAGUGGAGCGGUGAAAUGCGUAGAGAUUGGAAAGAACACCGAUGGCGAAGGCACUUUACUGGGCUAUUACUAACACUCAGAGACGAAAGCUAGGGUAGCAAAUGGG